UCACUUACCUGGACGGGGUCAAUGGAUGAUCAUGAAGAUCCAUGGCUUAGUGUAGUGGUUUCCAUUGCACUUUGGAGGGGUGCUUUCCUAAGGUCUCCCCAAGUGGGAGAGCCUACGUCAUAAUUUGUGGCAGUGAGGGCCUGCGUUCGCGCGGCAUUUAC
rfam:Gossypium hirsutum cultivar TM-1 chromosome 22, whole genome shotgun sequence